rnacentral:misc_RNA from 1 species
GAUGAAGAACGUAGCGAAAUGCGAUAAGUAAUGUGAAUUGCAGAAUUCAGUGAAUCAUCGAAUCUUUGAACGCACAUUGCGCCCUCUGGUAUUCCGGGGGGCAUGCCUGUUCGAGCGUCAUUAUAACCACUCAAGCUCUCGCUUGGUAUUGGGGCUCGCGGUUCCGCGGCCCCUAAAAUCAGUGGCGGUGCCUGUCGGCUCUACGCGUAGUAAUACUCCUCGCGAUUGAGUCCGGUAGGUCUACUUGCCAGCAACCCCCAAUUUUUACAGGUUGACCUCGGAUCAGGUAGGGAUACCCGCUGAACUUAAGCAUAUCAAUAAGCGGAGGA